AGUCGGUCCCCUCGCAAUGAUAACCUGUGAACCCCGCCAGGCCCGGAAGGGAGCAACGGUAGCAGUUAGUCGUGUGCCGGGGUGUGGCUGAUUAGG
rnacentral:SRP_RNA from 1 species